rnacentral:rRNA from 1 species
GACAGAGGCCCCAAGCGUUAGGCGGAAUCACUGGGCUUAAAGCGUGUGUAGGCGGACGCCUAAGUGUCUUGUGAAAUCCCACGGCUCACCCGUGGAACUGCUGGGCAUACUGGGCGUCUUGGGCCAACUAGGGGCAGCCGGAACAAGCGGUGGAGCGGUGAAAUGCGUAGAUAUCAGGAAGAACACCCGUGGCUAAGGCGGCUCUCUAGUACGGUACUGACGCUGAGACGCGAAAGCGUGGGGAGCGAACAGG